UACGAAGGGGGCUAGCGUUGUUCGGAAUUACUGGGCGUAAAGCGCGCGCAGGCGGUUUUUCAAGUCAGUGGUGAAAGCCCGGAGCUCAACUCCGGAACUGCCAUUGAAACUGUGAAACUUGAGGAUGAGAGAGGUGAGUGGAAUUCCAGGUGUAGCGGUGAAAUGCGCAGAUAUCAGGAGGAACACCGGUGGCGAAGGCGGAUCUCUGGGCCUUGCCUGACGCUGAGGCGCGAAAGCUAGGGGAGCGAACAGG
rnacentral:rRNA from 1 species